CCUACGGGAGACAGCAGUGGGGAAUAUUGCACAAUGGGGGAAACCCUGAUGCAGCGACGCCGCGUGAGUGAAGAAGUAUUUCGGUACGUAAAGCUCUAUCAGCAGGGAAGAAAAUGACGGUACCUGACUAAGAAGCCCCGGCUAACUACGUGCCAGCAGCCGCGGUAAUACGUAGGGGGCAAGCGUUAUCCGGAUUUACUGGGUGUAAAGGGAGCGUAGACGGCAACGCAAGUCUGGAGUGAAAUCCCAUGGCUUAACCAUGGAACUGCUUUGGAAACUGUGCAGCUAGAGUGCAGGAGAGGUAAGCGGAAUUCCUAGUGUAGCGGUGAAAUGCGUAGAUAUUAGGAGGAACACCAGUGGCGAAGGCGGCUUACUGGACUGUAACUGACGUUGAGGCUCGAAAGCGUGGGGAGCAAACAGGAUUAGAUACCCGUGUAGUC
rnacentral:rRNA from 1 species